AAAGGGUGCGUAGGCGGCUUUUUAAGUCAGGGGUGAAAGACGGUAGCUCAACUAUCGCAGUGCCCUUGAUACUGAAGAGCUUGAAUGGACUAGAGGUAGGCGGAAUGUGACAAGUAGCGGUGAAAUGCAUAGAUAUGUCACAGAACACCGAUUGCGAAGGCAGCUUACUAUGGUUUUAUUGACGCUGAGGCACGAAAGCGUGGGGAUCAAACAGGAUUAGAUACCCGAGU
rnacentral:rRNA from 1 species